rnacentral:rRNA from 1 species
UGCGCAGGCGGACUUGUGCGUCAGAGGUUAAAUACCACCGCUCAACGGUGGAAAUGCCUUUGAUACGGCAAGUCUUUAGUACGAGAGAGGAUGGUAGAAUUCCUGGUGUAGCGGUGAAAUGCGUAGAUAUCAGGAGGAAUACCGAUGGCGAAGGCAGGUCCCUGGGCUGAUACUGACGCUCAUGCACGAAAGCGUGGGGAGCAAACAGGAUUAGAUACCCUGGUAGUCCACGCCCUAAACUAUGUCGACUGGUUGUUGGGGGUUUGACACUCUCAGUAACGAAGCUAACGCGUGAAGUCGACCGCCUGGGGAGUACGGCCGCAAGGUUAAAACUCAAAGGAAUUGACGGGGACCCGCACAAGCGGUGGAUUAUGUGGAUUAAUUCGAUGCAACGCGAAAAACCUUACCUACCCUUGACAUGUCCUGGAGGCGGAAGAGAUUCCGCUGUGCCCGAAAGGGAACGGGAACACAGGUGCUGCAUGGCUGUCGUCAGCUCGUGUCGUAAGAUGUUGGGUUAAGUCCCGCAACGAGCGCAACCCUUGUCAUUAGUUGCUACAUUCAGUUGGGCACUCUAAUGAGACUGCCGGUGACAAACCGGAGGAAGGUGGGGAUGACGUCAAGUCCUCAUGGCCCUUAUGGGUAGGGCUUCACACGUAAUACAAUGGUGCGUACAGAGGGUUGCCAAGCCGCGAGGUGGAGCCAAUCCCAGAAAGCGCGUCGUAGUCCGGAUUGCAGUCUGCAACUCGACUGCAUGAAG